ACCCUUUGUAAGGGAUAACGUUUGGAAACGGACGCUAAUACCUUAUGAGCACUAUGGUGGAAAGAUUUAUCGCCAAAGGAUCAUUCCAAGUCGGAUUAGCUAGUUGUAGGGGUAAAGGCUCUACAAGGCGAUGAUCCGUAGCCGGCCUGAGAGGGUGAUCGGCCACACCGGGACUGAGACACGGCCCGGACUCCUACGGGAGGCAGCAGUGGGGAAUAUUGGACAAUGGGGGCAACCCUGAUCCAGCCAUGCCGCGUGCGUGAAGAAGGCCUUAGGGUUGUAAAGCGCUUUUGUCAGGGAAGAUAAUGACUGUACCUGAAGAAUAAGCCCCGGCUAACUCCGUGCCAGCAGCCGCGGUAAGACGGAGGGGGCUAGCGUUGUUCGGAAUUACUGGGCGUAAAGGGCGCGUAGGGGCCUUGUAUGUCAGGGGUGAAAUCCCGGGGCUCAACCCCGAACUGCUCUUGAAACUGCGAGGCUAGAGUGAGUAAGAGGCGGACGGAAUUCCGAGUGUAGCAGUGAAAUGCGUAGAUAUUCGGAGGAACAUCGGUGGCGAAGGGGUUCGCUGGUACUCUACUGACGCUGAGGCGCGAAAGUGGGGAGCAAACAGGAUUAGAUACCCUGGUAGUCCACGCCGUAAACGAUGAGGACUAGCUAUUUUGCUUUCGGGCAGGGUGGCGCAGUAACGCAUUAAGUUCUCCGCCUGGGGAGUACGGUCGCAAGACUA
rnacentral:rRNA from 1 species